GAACUUUUCGGUCUCGGUAAUCAUGGAAGCCCAUCGCUUUACCUCGGGUAAGACACACCCAGAAGCUUGGCAUGGGUUUUCUUAGGAAGAAAUGCUGAGAACAUAUGAGGUUCCCUAUUUUCCAUAACAGGGACCUUGGAUGUAACCACCACAAAUGCAGCAGGAUCUCUUUCUUGUUGGCUGGAAUGAUUCAAGCUACUAUGUUGAAGAGCCCCACACUGCAAAGAACUUAAGUUAAUAACCCUGUGAAACAGAGGCCCUUCGUCCACAGUACUGGAGGAAUUGAAUCUUGAAACAAUGAUGAAAAAACAACUAGAGACUGACCGUGGUUCUACACAGCUGUGACACGAGCACCUGAGAAGCUGAGGCAAUAGGAUGGAGUGCAAGGCCAGGCUGAGGAACAUGCAAGACCUUGUCUCAGAAAACAAGAUAGAGUGAAGCAAACAAGCACAGAAAUGUGACUGUCAAAAUCAGGCACACGACAAUCUUGUCCAAUGAGAGCAUGCAUGGAAGAAAAGAACUAAGGAUACAUUCUUGCAAUGACGAGUGGUGGCGGCUCACGCCGUUUAUUACAGCACUUGGAAGACAGAAGCAAGUGGAUCUCUGUGAGCUCAAGGCCAGCCUGGUCUACAGAGUAAGUUCCAGGACAACCAA